CAAAGUGUAGCUUAAUUAAAGCAUCUGGCCUACACCCAGAAGAUUUCAUUAUCUAUGACCACUUUGA
rnacentral:tRNA from 1 species